rnacentral:rRNA from 1 species
CGGACGGGUGAGUAACGCGUGGGUAACCUGCCUCACACAGGGGGAUAGCAGUUGGAAACGGCUGAUAAUACCGCAUAAGCGCACAGUACCGCAUGGUACAGUGUGAAAAACUCCGGUGGUACAAGAUGGACCCGCGUCUGAUUAGCUGGUUGGUGAGGUAACGGCCCACCAAGGCAACGAUCAGUAGCCGGCCUGAGAGGGUGAACGGCCACAUUGGGACUGAGACACGGCCCAA